GACGAACGCUGGCGGCGUGCCUAAUACAUGCAAGUAGAACGCUGAAGGAGGAGCUUGCUUCUCUGGAUGAGUUGCGAACGGGUGAGUAACGCGUAGGUAACCUGCCUGGUAGCGGGGGAUAACUAUUGGAAACGAUAGCUAAUACCGCAUAAUAGUAGAUGUUGCAUGACAUUUACUUAAAAGAUGCAAUUGCAUCACUACCAGAUGGACCUGCGUUGUAUUAGCUAGUUGGUGGGGUAACGGCUCACCAAGGCGAAGAUACAUAGCCGACCUGAGAGGGUGAUCGGCCACACUGGGACUGAGACACGGCCCAGAAUCCUACGGGAGGCAGCAGUAGGGAAUCUUCGGCAAUAGACGAAAGUCUGACCGAGCAACGCCGCGGGAGUGAAGAAGGUUUUCGGAUCGUAAAGCUCUGUUGUAAGAGAAGAACGAGUGUGAGAGUGGAAAGUUCACACUGUGACGGUAUCUUACCAGAAAGGGACGGCUAACUACGUG
rnacentral:rRNA from 1 species